UCAAAUGAAUUGACGGGACCCCGCACAAGCAGCGGAGCGUGUGGUUUAAUUCGAGGCUACACGAGGAACCUUACCUGGGCUUAAAUGGGGAGUGACAGCUGUCGAAAGAUGGUUUUCUUCGGACACUCUUCAAGGUGCUGCAUGGUUGUCGUCAGCUCGUGCCGUGAGGUGUCGGGUUAAGUCCCAUAACGAGCGCAACCCUUACCGUUAGUUACCAUCAGGUUAAGCUGGGGACUCUAGCGGGACUGCCACCGUAAGGUGAGAGGAAAGUGGGGAUGACGUCAAAUCAGCACGGCCCUUAUGUCCAGGGCUACACACGUGUUACAAUGGCCGGUACAAAGGGCAGCUACUUCGCGAGAAGAUGCUAAUCUCGAAAGCCGGUCUCAGUUCGGAUCGAAGUCUGCAACCCGACUUCGUGAAGCUGGAUUCGCUAGUAAUCGCGCAUCAGCCAUGGCGCGGUGAAUACGUUCCCGGGCCUU
rnacentral:rRNA from 1 species